AUACACAAGCUGUGGGUUAGUGUCCUGCAAGUCUUA
rnacentral:tRNA from 1 species